AGACUGCGCUGUCAUCUUUAGUCCAUAGUUUUCCACCCGCGAUCCGUUAUCACCAUAGACAUAAAUAGAGGUAGACGCGCAAGAAAUGCGGCUGCCAUCUUGAACCGGUCGUACUCCCAGUUGCGCAGCUGAAGACAGCGAGAUGCCAGAGCGCUGUGCAGCAUAUUCAUGCUCAAAUCUGCGGACCAUCGCAAACAGGGCUCGGUAGGAUUACUUUUCACAAGUGCUGUGCAAGCUCCUAAGGUGUAGACAGUCACACACAUCGACCGGGAGGAGACUGGAACAGAGGGUGUUUUUCUGCUUGGGGAACUCAUUGAGGAGACACAGUUUGGCAUCGACAACCAUCGUUCUGACUUGUUGUCAUUGGUUGUGUCUGUGUUUCUGAGGAUAAGGCUGCACCACGUUGCCAAACUCAACAGUCCUAUCAGGGGUUUUCGCUCAUGCAAAGCUUUCGUGUGUGUCUGUGUGUUGGGCUGCUAAAUGUCAAGAGGGACAAAUAUAAAAAGCUUCAAGCACACUGGAGAUAUCAUUUAAUAAUAAAUUGUAUUGGUUCAAAUGAUUAAAAUAUCUGACUUUACUCUCA